rnacentral:rRNA from 1 species
AUUGAACGCUGGCGGCAGGCUUAACACAUGCAAGUCGAGCGGAGAUGAGGUGCUUGCACCUUAUCUUAGCGGCGGACGGGUGAGUAAUGCUUAGGAAUCUGCCUAUUAGUGGGGGACAACAUUCCGAAAGGGAUGCUAAUACCGCAUACGUCCUACGGGAGAAAGCAGGGGAUCUUCGGACCUUGCGCUAAUAGAUGAGCCUAAGUCGGAUUAGCUAGUUGGUGGGGUAAAGGCCUACCAAGGCGACGAUCUGUAGCGGGUCUGAGAGGAUGAUCCGCCACACUGGGACUGAGACACGGCCCAGACUCCUACGGGAGGCAGCAGUGGGGAAUAUUGGACAAUGGGGGGAACCCUGAUCCAGCCAUGCCGCGUGUGUGAAGAAGGCCUUAUGGUUGUAAAGCACUUUAAGCGAGGAGGAGGCUACUGAGACUAAUACUCUUGGAUAGUGGACGUUACUCGCAGAAUAAGCACCGGCUAACUCUGUGCCAGCAGCCGCGGUAAUACAGAGGGUGCGAGCGUUAAUCGGAUUUACUGGGCGUAAAGCGUGCGUAGGCGGCUUUUUAAGUCGGAUGUGAAAUCCCCGAGCUUAACUUGGGAAUUGCAUUCGAUACUGGAAGCUAGAGUAUGGGAGAGGAUGGUAGAAUUCCAGGUGUAGCGGUGAAAUGCGUAGAGAUCUGGAGGAAUACCGAUGGCGAAGGCAGCCAUCUGGCCUAAUACUGACGCUGAGGUACGAAAGCAUGGGGAGCAAACAGGAUUAGAUACCCUGGUAGUCCAUGCCGUAAACGAUGUCUACUAGCCGUUGGGGCCUUUGAGGCUUUAGUGGCGCAGCUAACGCGAUAAGUAGACCGCCUGGGGAGUACGGUCGCAAGACUAAAACUCAAAUGAAUUGACGGGGGCCCGCACAAGCGGUGGAGCAUGUGGUUUAAUUCGAUGCAACGCGAAGAACCUUACCUGGCCUUGACAUACUAGAAACUUUCCAGAGAUGGAUUGGUGCCUUCGGGAAUCUAGAUACAGGUGCUGCAUGGCUGUCGUCAGCUCGUGUCGUGAGAUGUUGGGUUAAGUCCCGCAACGAGCGCAACCCUUUUCCUUACUUGCCAGCAUUUCGGAUGGGAACUUUAAGGAUACUGCCAGUGACAAACUGGAGGAAGGCGGGGACGACGUCAAGUCAUCAUGGCCCUUACGGCCAGGGCUACAACGUGCUACAAUGGUCGGUACAAAGGGUUGCUACACAGCGAUGUGAUGCUAAUCUCAAAA